rnacentral:rRNA from 1 species
AGCUGCAGCCAUGCCCUGGAGCUAAGAUCUCAAUGGGUCUCAUAAACUAAGCAGGGAGACUAGACAAUACUUUGAUGGGAAACCAUCAAGGAAACCCGAAGACACUGUAUGAA